rnacentral:rRNA from 1 species
UGGGGGAUAGCCCAGAGAAAUUUGGAUUAAUACCGCAUACGCCCUACGGGGGAAAGGAGGGGAUCUUCGGACCUUUCGCUAUUUGAUGAGCCUGCGUAAGAUUAGCUAGUUGGUAGGGUAAAGGCCUACCAAGGCGACGAUCUUUAGCUGUUCUGAGAGGAUGAUCAGCCACACUGGGACUGAGACACGGCCCAGACUCCUACGGGAGGCAGCAGUGGGGAAUAUUGGACAAUGGGGGCAACCCUGAUCCAGCCAUGCCGCGUGUGUGAAGAAGGCCUUCGGGUUGUAAAGCACUUUCAGAUGUGAGGAAAGGUUAGUAGCUAAUAACUGCUAACUGUGACGUUAACAUCAGAAGAAGGACCGGCUAACUCCGUGCCAGCAGCCGCGGUAAUACGGAGGGUCCGAGCGUUAAUCGGAAUUACUGGGCGUAAAGCGCGCGUAGGCGGCUAAGUCAGUCAGAUGUGAAAGCCCCGGGCUCAACCUGGGAAUUGCACCUGAUACUGCUUGGCUAGAGUACAGAAGAGGGUGGUGGAAUUUCCUGUGUAGCGGUGAAAUGCGUAGAUAUAGGAAGGAACACAGUGGCGA